rnacentral:rRNA from 1 species
CUCAGACAGCCAGGAUGUUGGCUUAGAAGCAGCCAUCAUUUAAAGAAAGCGUAAUAGCUCACUGGUCGAGUCGGCCUGCGCGGAAGAUGUAACGGGGCUAAACUAUGCACCGAAGCUGCGGCAGCGAACGUAUCACUUAAACUGAUUAAGUGAUACUCAGAUGUAUCAAAACGAUUGACGGAGCGAAGCGACGUCAAUGCGUCCAACAAAGUCGAGGCGGAAACGUCAGGCAGUCAGUUUAAGGAUACGUUCGUUGGGUAGGGGAGCGUUCUGUAAGCCUGUGAAGGUGUACUGUGAGGUAUGCUGGAGGUAUCAGAAGUGCGAAUGCUGACAUAAGUAACGAUAAUGCGGGUGAAAAACCCGCACGCCGGAAGACCAA